ensembl:misc_RNA Y_RNA Y RNA
GGCUGGUCCGAUGGCAGUGGGUUAUCAGAACUUAUUAACAUUAGUGUCACUAAAGUUGGUAUACCACCCCCCCCACUGCUAAAUUUGACUGGCUUAAA